ensembl:lncRNA novel transcript
GCGUACUUUUCCAGAGGGAGCUGAAUAGAGCCAAGGCUUGGGCACGGCUGUGCAGAGAGGGAAUUCGGCCCCCGGUCUCUUGCAACCAACAGCGCGACUUCUCCCUGCAGGGCAGGGGAGGCAAUAGAGAAGGAGGGCCUCCAAGAAGGUGCAUCUCCCAGCUGUUUACCAAUCCCCACCCAGUGGGGACAGAAGACAACUUAAUUCCACAAAGUUGGACCCCCAAGGGAAGUGGGGAGGUGAGAGGGAAAGAAGGAUGUGGUCUCCAUCUAAAGUCAAGAUCUCUUCCCCAGAAGCUAGAGGUAAACUUGCCCAGCUCGGACUAGGCCUAGAGAGGCUGAAUGAUGUGGCAUCACCCGGAAACAGCGUUUACCCUCCUUAUCCUCUUCCCUUCUGCCUGAAAACACUAAUCCAGAUGAUGGACAAUGAUUCAAUUAGUCAUCUUCUCUGAUGGGGGCUGAGAUCCAGGCUGGGAUCCCGUGGAAGUGCCGGGCAAUCCUCUCUGCAAGUGGCUCUGUGCUCCCUCAUCACCAAGGACCCAUGUCACUUUGGCAUUGCUUCUCCUCAGCUACUUCUCAGUUACUGGUCCUCAUUUGGAGAGAUGGAUAUCCGGCUGGAAGCAUCCCCUACCCGCUGGGAGAGUGGGUCUACAGCUCAGGGUCUACAUGUGGACCAGGGCCUCAGAAUGUGGGUAAAUGUGAGUCAGAUGCACCUGGCA